AUUGAACGCUGGCGGCAUGCCUAACACAUGCAAGUCGAACGAAGUCUUCGGACUUAGUGGCGGACGGGUGAGUAACACGUGGGAACGUGCCUUUAGGUUCGGAAUAACUCAGGGAAACUUGUGCUAAUACCGAAUGUGCCCUUCGGGGGAAAGAUUUAUCGCCUUUAGAGCGGCCCGCGUCUGAUUAGCUAGUUGGUGAGGUAAAGGCUCACCAAGGCGCCGAUCAGUAGCUGGUCUGAGAGGAUGAUCAGCCACAUUGGGACUGAGACACGGCCCAAACUCCUACGGGAGGCAGCAGUGGGGAAUCUUGCGCAAUGGGCGAAAGCCUGACGCAGCCAUGCCGCGUGAAUGAUGAAGGUCUUAGGAUUGUAAAAUUCUUUCACCGGGGACGAUAAUGACGGUACCCGGAGAAGAAGCCCCGGCUAACUUCGUGCCAGCCGCCGCCGUAAGAC
rnacentral:rRNA from 1 species